GUGGGGAAUUUUGGACAAUGGGCGCAAGCCUGAUCCAGCAAUGCCGCGUGCAGGAAGAAGGCCUUCGGGUUGUAAACUGCUUUUGUACGGAACGAAAAGGCUCUGGUUAAUACCUGGGGCUCAUGACGGUACCGUAAGAAUAAGCACCGGCUAACUACGUGCCAGCAGCCGCGGUAAUACGUAGGGUGCAAGCGUUAAUCGGAAUUACUGGGCGUAAAGCGUGCGCAGGCGGUUUUGUAAGACAGACGUGAAAUCCCAGGGCUCAACCUGGGAAUGGCGUUUGUGACUGCAAAGCUGGAGUGCGGCAGAGGGGGAUGGAAUUCCGCGUGUAGCAGUGAAAUGCGUAGAUAUGCGGAGGAACACCGAUGGCGAAGGCAAUCCCCUGGGCCUGCACUGACGCUCAUGCACGAAAGCGUGGGGAGCAAACAGGAUUAGAUACCCUGGUAGUCC
rnacentral:rRNA from 1 species